rnacentral:rRNA from 1 species
GAUGAACGCUGACAGAAUGCUUAACACAUGCAAGUCUACUUGAUUCUACUUCGGUAGUUGAUGGUGGCGGACGGGUGAGUAACGCGUAAAGAAUCUGCCCUUUAGUUUGGGAUAACCCUUGGAAACGAAGGCUAAUACCGGAUAUUAUGGAGACGUCGCAUGGCGACUCCAUGAAAGCUAUAUGCGCUAGAGGAGGACUUUGCGUCCCAUUAGUGAUUUGGUGAGGUAAUGGCUCACCAAGACCGCGAUGGGUAGCCGGCCUGAGAGGGUGAUCGGCCACAAGGGAACUGAGACACGGUCCUUACUCCUACGGGAGGCAGCAGUGGGGAAUAUUGGACAAUGGGCCACAAGCCUGAUCCAGCAAUCCUGUGUGCACGAUGAAGGUCUUCGGAUUGUAAAGUGCUUUCAGUAGGGAAGAAAAAAUGACGGCACCUACAGAAGAAGCGACGGCUAAAUAUGUGCCAGCAGCCGCGGUAAAAC